GGGGCGGUGGCGGAACUGGCAGACGCAGGAGACUUAAAAUCUCCCGGCCGCAAGGCCAUGUGGGUUCGACCCCCACCCGCCCUA
rnacentral:tRNA from 1 species